rnacentral:tRNA from 1 species
GUCAAGAUGGUCGAGUGAUAUCUAAGGCACCAGACUCAAGUUCUGGUUUUUGUGAGAAGGCAUGUGUUCAAGUCUUACUUUUGACA